rnacentral:rRNA from 1 species
GACGAACGCUGGCGGCACGCCUAACACAUGCAAGUCGAACGGUGUUGAUUUGAGUUUACUUAGAUCAACAUAGUGGCGGACGGGUGAGUAACACGUGAGCAACCUGCCUUUUGGCGAGGGAUAGCUUCUGGAAACGGAUGGUAAUACCUCAUAAUAUAGCUUGAUCGCAUGGUCGGGUUAUCAAAGAAUUUCGCCAAAAGAUGGGCUCGCGUCUGAUUAGAUAGUUGGUGAGGUAACGGCUCACCAAGUCGACGAUCAGUAGCCGGACUGAGAGGUUGAACGGCCACAUUGGGACUGAGACACGGCCCAGACUCC